GAUCAUGGCUCAGGAUAAACGCUGGCGGCGCACAUAAGACAUGCAAGUCGAACGAACUUAACUCAUUCUUUUAGAUUGAGAGCGGUUAGUGGCGGACUGGUGAGUAACACGUAAGCAACCUGCCUAUUAGAGGGGGAAUAACAGUGAGAAAUCAUUGCUAAUACCGCAUAUGCUAACAGUAUCGCAUGAUACAGUUAGGAAAGGAGCAAUCCGCUAAUAGAUGGGCUUGCGUCUGAUUAGAUAGUUGGUGGGGUAACGGCCUACCAAGUCGACGAUCAGUAGCCGGACUGAGAGGUUGAACGGCCACAUUGGGACUGAGAUACGGCCCAGACUCCUACGGGAGGCAGCAGUCGGGAAUAUUGCGCAAUGGAGGAAACUCUGACGCAGUGACGCCGCGUAUAGGAAGAAGGUUUUCGGAUUGUAAACUAUUGUCGUUAGGGAAGAUACAAGACAGUACCUAAGGAGGAAGCCCCGGCUAACUAUGUG
rnacentral:rRNA from 1 species